ensembl:snRNA U6 U6 spliceosomal RNA
AUGCUCCUUCAGCAGCACAUAUAUUAAAAAUCAGAAUGAUACAGAGAAGAUUAGCCCAGCCCCUCGGCAAGAAUGACAUGCAAUUUAGUUUUCUCAGAACCAUUUGU